GUUUUGCGAGGAGGAGCAGAGCGUGAAUGUUCAUCUCCGACAGAUUCAAAGCGCUCCUUUCGAUAAAGCUUCGAAUAUCAAUUUUUCCCUCAAUGCUGACAACGAAAGUGUAAGUCUGUAAUUCACGUCUGUCUGUCUGUGUUUGUGUGUCUCUCUCCUGUCUUUCUCAGGUUAAUUGAAAGCUGUUUGUUUAUUAAAUUCCAGCUCAAUUCGAACCUCUUUCAAGGAGGGAAAUAAAUAUCCCACUGCUACCAGCAAUAGCAUCGCUGUUGUCCUCUGUAAAUUAGUUAAUCUCCUUCAACCAGGCUGUCUAUCAAAAUAUCCCACUGCUACCACCAAUAGAAUCGCUUCUCUCCUCUAUAAAUCAGCUAAAAACAUCCUUCAACCAGACUGUAUCUAAGUAUCCCACUGCUAAAACCAAUACACUGCAGCUAUUGGCUCUAAAAGUUUAAAGGAGUCUUGCUAUCAGCCUUUAUCUAUCUCUGUCUUUCUGUCUAUCCAUCUAUCUAUCUGUCUAGCUAUAUAAUUUUAUCUGUAUGUGUAUAUAUAGAUAUAUAGGUAACGUAUACAUCUCUAUCUGUUUACAUAUCCCACUCUCACACCAACAUGUUGUAGCUCUCUUUAUAAGAAUUUAAUCUCUCUCCUCCCCUCCCUCUCUCCUCUCUAUCCCCUCCCUCCUGUCCCCUCCCUCUCUCUC